AUUAAACCUAAUCUAACAAUCGAUUAAACCUAAUUUCUAUAUCCUAAUUACCUAAUUAAACCUAAUUAAGAAAUAGACUAAUCAUCACUAAAAUGACUCAAAUUCUAAGAGUUAUCUAAUGUUUCUAAUCAGGAUUAACAAAAAGACAUUGUCAUUAAUCAAAUUAACAACUAGAAUUAAAGUAGGUUAAUUAAGAAUUAAUGAGGAAUUAUUGAUGGAUUAGAAAGAACUAACACAUGGGCCAGAGGGGGUAAGGUGGAAAAACGGAUGAGGGGUGGAUAAGCCCACGAGGACGCUUGGGCCAAGAAAAAAGCUGGCAAAAAAACUCAAUCUCAAAACACCCAAAACCGGAUUCACCUGAAUAUCCAUCAAGAUGCACUUUCACGUUUAAACAAGCCAAAACAAAUGCUCCGGUCAAUAGCGAAAAAGACGAUUCACCAUCAGCGUCGAAUCUCCCACGGUGGCCACAUGAAUCAACACGAACUCAACGCGAAAUUCAAUAUCUCUUCUUCAAUUCAUAUUGCAUCGUUGCUUCGCUUCCGUUUCAAUGUGUUAUGUUGCAGAAUGAAGAUUGAGCUUUAUCCGGAUUUGUGCGUUGCGGUGGUAGAUGGAGAAGAAGAUGCUCCGCGUUCGUGUGUCGCGUGUGAGAUGAAUUUCGAAGUCCGUUCGUGUUGCACACUGAGGUGGCGAUGAUGAAUCGUAGCCUUCUUGAUUGAACCGCGAUGAUGAUGACUGAAGGGAGAUAUUGGAUUCUUGAGGAUGGUUGAGGCUAAAGAAGAGGUUGUCAUGAGGUUCUGUUAGAGGAAGAGAUAGAAUUUCCGGUUGGGAUUUUGGUUGGUUAGUUAGUUUUUUGGAAUUCAAUUACGGUUGUUGGAGGUUGAAGUUGUUAAGAUGCAGUUCGAAGUUGUUAUGAAGGUUAGAGAUUUCUGUUUUGAAGGUUUUGGUCUUUGGUUGGCAGUUAGGAGUUAGUUGCCGGUUGGUUAAAGUUGAGCGAAUUCGGUUAACAGUUGUGUCAAUUCUUGGUUUGGAGGUUAACAAUUUUUCUGCAUGAAUUGGUUCUAUUCCUUUUCUGUUUCUGUUGAGGAUUUGAGCCUGAAAGAUUAAGGGUGAAAAAGAUGGUGGAGUUCAGUUAUGUUUUGCCGGUUCCCGGUUCUGUUGGGUUCAGAGAGGGUUAUUGAAGGGCUUGGUCUGAAGUUAAUAUUGUUAUGUUUUUUGUGCAGGUUAGUUUAUACGGUUUGAGGCGUUAGCUUGUUUUGGUUAUGAGUUCAGUUUUUAGCCGAAAAUUCGGCCUUUGGGAUUGGCAGCUGCCGACUUCUUUUCCGUAGCUUGAAGCAACACCCUUGCAUCCUUAAUCAUCCAUUCGUAAGCAUGGCUUCGUGGUUUGGAAGCAUUCUCUAAGACCGGAGGUUCGGCGUCGGAUACGAGUUCAACGACGACGAUGGGGUCUUCGGUGGCCAUUCGAUAGGGAAUUGAACAAUAGAUGUAGAUAAGAGUUUGUUACAGUGAGAAGUGAAAUGUUUUCGUAUGUACAUAAUAUUUUGGUUAUGUUGGAUUUAAUGGUUGUAAAGGUUUACGGAAUUGUGAAAUGUUUUGCUUGGAUUGGUUAUAAUUAGAUAGCUAUAGACUUAGAUAGUAGUAGGAGAAGCAGGAAGAUAAUUGAAAUUGACCGAGCGAUCAAGAGUAGUAUCAUGAUGGCUUCUGCCACCACCAUCGUAAUGUGAGCCGUCAAUUGUGAAAUAUACAAGAAACCAAACCAGACGUACACUGCCGUCUCUUCACAAAGGUACCACCAAAAUUGGCAAUGAUUACCCUGGCCAAUGCAAUUUCCAAGCCAAACACAGUGAUGAUCCAACUGAAGGACAAGUUUGUCACAAUCAUGACAACGCUUUACCCGUGGAGGCUGCUCCACAUUGCAGUAGGUCCAUGUUCUGCGACUGAAGAAUACGUCCAUGUUCUGAUUGUUGAUCCAGGAGGAUACAAUCCGGACACCAACUUUGACCAAUAUGUUGCAUUGAGAGGUAAGGCUGGCCAUGGGAUAGAAAAUGGUUCACACAUGGACGGAUGUCGACGAAUCAUAGAAAUCAAGGACCGAGGCUUGUGAAGUGAAAGAUAAGUCUUACAUUUGGGUAGUGUAAAUUAUACUUGAUCUUGGAAUUGAACAUUGUAUGGUGAAAUUUAGAAUAUGAAUUGUAAUGGUUUAGGUUUGUAUUGAA